CAACAUGUGGAUAGAUUUGGGCUGCUUGCAACCACAGUAAAAAAUGCUAAAACACAGACU
rfam:Bacteroides sp. 43_108 Ley3_66761_scaffold_1333, whole genome shotgun sequence.